GCACGUCACCACGCACAAUCCUUUGGGCUAGUCCCUCAGCAAUUGCGGUCUUUCCAACACCAGGCUCACCAAUGAUAACAGGAUUAUUUUUGGUUCUCCUAGAUAAUAUCUGGAUACACCUUCGAAUUUCAUCAUCACGACCUAUGACAGGAUCAAGUUUGCCACGCCUAGCAAGCUCAGUCAAGUCAUUACCAUAUUUGUCCAAUGCUUCAUACUUCCCUUCAGGAUUUUGAUCAAUUACUCUCUGACUUCCUCGAACAGCUUGGAUGGCAUCUCUCAUAUCCUUCUCACUGAGUUGGAGGCUCCUCAGUAACUGUUGCCCAAACCUCUUAUCCAAAUGGAAUGCUAACACAAAAUGCUCCACUGACACAAAAUCAUCGCCCAUUUCUUUCUUAUGCUUGCGAGCAUUAUCUAAUAAGACGCCAAGAUAUGAACCCAUUAUUGGGCCACUGGUGUCACCCAUCACCUUCGGUUGUUGGGAAAUAAAGUUUAAAAGUUUUCUGUAGCCUGCAAAACUGAUGUAUUAUCAACCCCAGCCUUCGUGAAUAUUCUCCUAGCCAAUCCAUCUUUUUGCUCUAAAAGGGCUUUCAUCAAAUGCUCAGUUUCCACCACUUGCUGUUUGCUAUUUCGUGCUGUAUCAACAGCACCAACAAUUCCCUCCCAUGCCAUCUCAGUGAAUUCUGAUGGAUUAGCCUGUGAAGAGCUAGCUGCAGCGGAGAAACGCGGAGAGGAAGAGUGAAAACAGCGACUGAGCGUGACUGUAGAAAAGAUGGCCCAAACGGCAUUGUGGUUGGCUGCAAAUUUUUUACCAUUGACAGAGUUACCAAACAGAGAAGCGGAAGAAGAGAUUGAGCGAGCACACGAGAGCAAAGAAGGAUAGUCAUAGAGAGAGAUUCUCGAUGCUCUUGAAGAUGAUAGUAUAGCUGCAAAAGCGGAUUUUGUAAGCCUCCUUGAGGCCAUCUUCGUUGAGAUUGAGACUGAUAAGACUGUAACUAAGAGACCACAAAGAGAG
rnacentral:misc_RNA from 1 species